AGCUUUGCACAGUGACAGUAUCGUAGCCAGUGAGGUUUAUCCGAGGCGCGAUUAUUGCUAAUUGAAAGACAGUCCAUGACAAUGUCUCCAACAAUCCAGAACUUUGUCAACAUCGCACCUUCCAGAACAUUCCAUAGAUG